rnacentral:rRNA from 1 species
UACCGAGGGGGCAAGCGUUGUUCGGAAUUACUGGGCGUAAAGGGCGCGUAGGCGGCCUUCUAAGUCGAACGUGAAAUCCCCGGGCUCAACCCGGGAACUGCGUCCGAUACUGGAAGGCUUGAAUCCGGGAGAGGGAUGCGGAAUUCCAGGUGUAGCGGUGAAAUGCGUAGAUAUCUGGAAGAACACCGGUGGCGAAGGCGGUCAACUGGCCCUAAACUGACGCUCAGGCACGAAAGCGUGGGGAUCAAACAGG